rnacentral:rRNA from 1 species
UACGUAGGGUGCGAGCGUUGUCCGGAAUUAUUGGGCGUAAAGAGCUUGUAGGCGGUUUGUCGCGUCUGCCGUGAAAAUUCGAGGCCCAACCUCGAACUUGCGGUGGGUACGGGCAGACUAGAGUGUGGUAGGGGAGACUGGAAUUCCUGGUGUAGCGGUGAAAUGCGCAGAUAUCAGGAGGAACACCGAUGGCGAAGGCAGGUCUCUGGGCCACUACUGACGCUGAGGCGCGAAGGCGUGGGGAGCAAACAGG